GUGGGCUGUUUCCUGAAUUCAUUAUGUUCUUGCUCUUCACUGCACAUCGUAAUGUUCUCUUUCUCCGUAAGGCUGUCUCUGAUCGCUGCAGAAAAUGGCCUGCAGACAGGCUUCACCCCUGCCGCUUACGGCGCAUGCGCUGACUGGGAAUUCAGAUCGAUGGUGCACGACUGGGAGUGCAUCGCGGAGGCGGGAUGUGCACUGGCUCGGAUGCUGGAUACGGUCAAUCCCCUUCAUGGCUGGGCAAGGUCUAGAAGUCACUGGUAACUGCACAGGAUGUCCACUUCCCCCAGGUGGUUUCCACAAGCUCCCCCACGUGGUCCUGAUGAGGGAAUGGAAGGCAAGCUGAAGACAAAGCAGAAGCUGACCCCCUGCAACCGCCCCCCCCCCCCAUGGGAUGUAUGCAACAUUCCUCAGGCACUCCUGGCUGC